rnacentral:rRNA from 1 species
UACGUAGGGUGCUAGCGUUGUCCGGAAUUAUUGGGCGUAAAGGGCUCGUAGGCGGUUUGUCGCGUCGGGAGUGAAAACCGGGUGCUUAACACCUGGCUUGCUUUCGAUACGGGCAGACUAGAGGUAUGCAGGGGAGAACGGAAUUCCUGGUGUAGCGGUGAAAUGCGCAGAUAUCAGGAGGAACACCGGUGGCGAAGGCGGUUCUCUGGGCAUGUCCUGACGCUGAGGAGCGAAAGUGUGGGGAGCGAACAGG